UCGCUCCCAAUGGGUUGAAUGAAUGGUAAAAAUCACUGUUUAGGUAAAAAUUCUCUGUAAAGGAUUUAUCCUCUGUUAGGUAAAAAAUCCUCUGUAAAGUUUUGAUAAAUGGGAAAAAGGAUUUGUGAGGCUAGUCUUAAACUGUAGUGAAUCUGGUGUGCUGUGUGUGUCUUUCUGUAUUGUUCUGUCAUAAAAGAGGGGUACUCUAAGAUACAGUGCGAGCCUAGGACUCCCAUAAAACCACUGUUCAAGAAGGCGCAACAAACUGGUCAGUUAAAAACUUUGCUGCACAUCCCUGAAAAAAGAAAAAAGAACUGGAUGACAUUUCCCUAUUGUCUUGAUACAACUGGAGAAACUGGUUAUUUUACCAAGGCUUUGACUGGAAUGGUGUGUUUACCUUUAAGGAAUCAAACUUGACUUAGAGAGCCAAGAAGAGCCCCUUGAAAAAAACUAGCCUCAUACCUUGUCUACACAGUCCCUGUACAGGGUUCCUGACCUGUGGCCAACCCUGUUUAUUCCUGUGAACCAACCAGUGAUCUCUUGACUGCUGCUCAGAAGAAACAACAGGGAUGGAUAUCAUCUUUUGUCAGAACUCGGAGUCAUGAACGGCCCUUGCCAUACCAAUGCUUUCUGACUGAGCUCCUCUCUAUCUACCCUGAAUGCAAGAGACCCAAUAGUUAGGCAGGAAUGGCAUUGCCCCUAUCAGCUUGAAGAAGUUACAGAAGAUGCAUCUUUAUCCCUCUGCAACCCUUAGGAUUAAGGGUUUUCUUAUAAAAGGGACGGGGGAAAUGUUAGAGGUGUUUGAACCAGAGCAACUCCAUCUUGAAUAGGGGCUGGGUAAAAUGAGGCUGAGACCUAUUGGGCUGCAUUCCCAGACGGUUAAGGCAUUCUGUGUCACAGGAUGAGUUAGGAGGUCAGCACAAGAUACAGGUCAUAAAGAUCUUGCUGAUAAACAGGAUGCAGUAAAGAAG
rnacentral:lncRNA from 1 species